UGGCUGAUGAAUUGGGAUGAGGUGGAAGGAAGGGUACUAACGCAUCACCUGGUACCCCAGUUCCAGUGGUUGCAGGGCAUAAGAGAAGGUAAGAAUGUAGCCGGUAGCUGUAAUUAUAGUGAAUGACAGGGUUAGAGUAGAAUCCCUAGGGACAGAAUAAAAGUACAGGCAACACAGGCACCCAGCUUGUAGUCCUAAAAGAAAUCGUGACUGGAGGACUGAAAGAUGUCUGAGGCAUUUAACUCAGUAGGAAACAAUACUUUCUGGGGCUGGAGAGAUGGCUCAGCAGAGGAAUGCUCCCUGCCCUGGCAGAAGACCUGGGUUUGGUUCUCAGCACCCACAUGGCGGCUCACAGCCACUUGUAACUCUAGUUCCAGGGGAUCCCAUGUCUUCUUCUGACUUCCUCUUGCACCAGGCUAUUUUCCGGGUCCCCAGAUAUAUAACCGAAAUUCUUGUCACUUGAUGCUUGGGGUCUUUUUCCCUUAAAAGGGGUGGCUUUCAUUAUAUGUGUCUGAGUGCUUUGCCUCUGUGUGUGUAUGUGCACUACGUGCAUGCAGGACCCAUGGUGCCCAGGUCCUAUUAGAAGAGUGGUUCUCAACAUGUGAGUUGCAAUGACCCUUUCACAGGGAUCUCCUAAGACUAUCGGAAAACACAGAUAUUUACAUGAUAAUUCAUAACAGUAGCAAAAUUACAGUUAUGAAGUAGCAAAAAAAUUUUUUUUUAUGGUUGGGUGUCACCACAACAUGAGGACCAUUAAAGGAACAUAAAGGGUCGCAGCAUUAGGGAGGUUGAGAAUCACUGUGUUAAAGCGGCACUAGCUCCCAACCACAGAGCCAUCUUUCCAACCCCUAAAAUAUGCAUUUCCAUGUCUUUCAUAUUAUGCCAUCCUGUCAUGAAGGAGGAAGGCAGCACCAGGCAGACUGUCUCCUUUGGGUUCUGGAGGAAGCUUCUUCUUCACACUUGGAAAUCCUGCAAUAGUUAAAAUCCCGCCAUACCUGGUGUCUACAUAACAGGUUGUGUCACACAAGGCUGUCAGCUCCAAGAUGUGCACAGUACAAGACAGGGUUCUACACCCAGUCCAGGCCGUGCUAUAGGCAGCCCUAUGAUGAUACGACCAGGAAAUCCUUAUCAGUGGUUGGGGGAAAGGUCACAUUGAGCCAUAGCUGCAGCUGCGGUUGAAAUACUUCAGGCUCCUGUGAUUCAGUAUAAGACAAAAGGAGGAGUCACUUGUCAUGAACAAAUGACCUUGGCACUUGACAGUGGGCAGGGGUUGCUUUUAUAAAGCAGGCAGGGAGAAAUAGGAUCACAGUUGGCUUGGUGUCCCGCUUGCAUGUCACUUGGUCUGUCUAUGAUCAGCUAUGAUGCUAUAUGGGCCAGUGGCGUGCUCCUGAUAUGGGACAGGCACAGUGACCUAGAGUACAGGAUCCUCAGCAUCAGGGGCCAGUGUCGUGCCAGCAAAUGACCAAAGAGACCUGUGCAGAUGGUUGUUGAGGUUGAGUGUGUUGUUGAGGGGAUUGGGGUAGAGGGGGCUGUGGGUAGUUAUUAUGGUUCCAAGGCUAGCUUCCAAAUGGUAUCUGUUGCUCAUGUCACUAACCUUCCUCUUCAGAUGUUGAAUGUUUAGGUGACCAGCGUUCAGGGAACAGUGUUGAAUUAUUUCUACUCGGUGGUGGUAAAACCUCAUUCAAAGGCUGCCUCACAACAGGUGAUUGUGAUUUGCCUCGGGCACUAGCAGGCGUGUGAUCUUUGCCAGCUACAGAGAGUUUAAUUCUGGGGACUCUGGAGAAGGGAUACAUGGAAGAGCCCGCCCCCAGGACCUGUGGCUGGUGGCUACUCCUCUGCUGUUGCUGCUGCUGCCACUGCCCAGCUGCUGCCCCUGCAACUGCCACCUGCUGCUGCUGCUGCUGCAUGUGCUGCCAGUGCUACUGGUCUCUGCUGGUUCCUGCUGCUGCAGUUGCUGUUGCAUUUGCUAUGCUUGGAUUGCUUGUUUGUUGAACUGCUGGCUCUCCUGACGAUGAAGAUUAGACUUGCCCCAAGGAACCCCAUGCCUCUAUUCAGCAGUAAGUGGCCCAAAGAGGUCUACAACUUAUGAGAACUGAAUAAAGUAUCACAAAAAUAGUGCC
rnacentral:lncRNA from 1 species